UCGCGCUGUCUCUCUCGCACUCACGGGGCGUGCCGUGCAGGUGCGAGAGAGACAGAGCGACGAAAACGACUCUGCAGCUCACAACGAGGCGCCGCAGACAGCAGGGGCAGCGGAGCUACGCCACUUUCCGAAUGCACUCUCUUCUUGGGCGUUUUGUUUUGCCGUGUUCCUGCCACGCGGAUUAGAGCAGUGCUAUUCUCUUUGGCACACUGCUCCGCGCUGCCCGCGCCGCUCGUUGUGUUCUCCGUUCCCCGCGUGGACCGGAGCGAACGCGAGCGAACGCCACUGCAAGUGCUCGCCUAAGCCGCGUGCGCCGCACCGUGUUGGAGACCAGAAGAGAGGCACCCGCCCUGCGCCCUGGGAGGCAUCCGCAGGGCCCUGCCAGGUCUCGCGCAGCCAGUCACCAGACUCGCCAGGAAGCCCGCCAGUACACCUUUGCCACUGCCAUCCCGAUCAGCGCCGAUCGGCAAUCAGAAUGGACCCGCCCUGCGCAAACCCGGGGUCAGCCCGGCCACCGCUCUGACAUGGCAGGGUAAUACCGUGACAGCAACGGGAAUGCACUACUGACUCUGG